rnacentral:rRNA from 1 species
CCCGCUGAACUUAAGCAUAUCAAUAAGCGGAGGAAAAGAAACCAACAGGGAUUGCCUUAGUAACGGCGAGUGAAGUGGCAAAAGCUCAGAUUUGAAAUCUGAUGUCAAUUUGGCAUCUGAGUUGUAAUCUGUAGAGGAGUAUUCAAGUAUGACUUUGGCUUAAGUUUUCUUAGAAUAGAGCAUCAUAGAAGGUGAGAAUCCUGUCUAUAGUUAAAGUUUUAUGCUUAUAUGAAUCUCCUUCAAUGAGUCGAGUUGUUUGGGAAUGCAGCUCUAAAUUGGUGGUAAAUCCCAUCUAAAGCUAAAUAUUGGCAAGAGACCGAUAGUGCACAAGUAGAGUGAUCGAAAGAUGAAAAGAACUCUGAACAGAGAGUUAAAUAGUACGUGAAAUUGUUGAAAGGGAAGCACUUGCAACUAGAUAUAUUUAGAACUAAUCAAUUACUAUUUAUUAGUGAUGCACUUAGUUCUAAAUGGGUCAAUAUGAGUUAUCAUAAGCAGGAAAAAGAUUGAUGGAAUGUAGCUCUCUUCGGGGAGUGUUAUAGCCAUUAAUUGAAUACUGCUCGUUAUGACUGAGGACUGCACUGAAUAAGUAAGGAUAUUGACAUAAUGGUUGUAAGUGACCCGUCUUGAAACACGG